UACGUAGGGUGCGAGCGUUGUCCGGAAUUAUUGGGCGUAAAGAGCUUGUAGGCGGUUUGUCGCGUCUGCUGUGAAAAUCCGGGGCUCAACCCCGGACUUGCAGUGGGUACGGGCAGACUAGAGUGUGGUAGGGGAGACUGGAAUUCCUGGUGUAGCGGUGAAAUGCGCCAGAUAUCAGGAGGAACACCGAUGGCGAAGGCAGGUCUCUGGGCCACUACUGACGCUGAGGCGACGAA
rnacentral:rRNA from 1 species